rnacentral:lncRNA from 1 species
GAUGAGGUCUAGGUCAAUGCAUGUUAGAUGCUGGAAAAAUGAAGUUGUAAAAGAAAAAAGCAUCUCACAAAAAUAGUAGGUUUUUACCUAUCAAAUUUUUGCUUGGUAUAUUUUCUGAAAGGGUCUUGGAGACCACACAUGGAAAAUCAUUGCUUUAACCAUUUAGUGGGCACAUACUGGGAGCCCAAUGCUACUGGACCUGGGAUAAGACUCAACUUCACAUUGGUCAGCUGUGACCUUGGACUAGUCACCCAAUCUCUCCCAGAGGCAGUGUCUUCAUUGCACAAUACCUACUACCUGUACUUCAGGAAACUUGGUAGGCAGAAAUAAGACCUCAUUUUCACUCUUGAAUUGAUAUGCUUGCACAAUUUGGGGCGUGUUGCGUAAGUAUUAAACAAGUCUCAGACCCAUUUCUGCCUUUGUGGUCCCUUGGGGGCACAGGGACUUCACAGCUCUCAUGGUGUCUAGGUUUCUUGGCCACCAGAUGGCAGUGUUCUUUGAAUUUGACCAAGAAGUUUCUGUGGGCCGUGGGAGGACAAACUUGAGGAAUUUUUUUCUCCUGAACCCAGGAGACCUGGUUCAGGCUGGCUGGCCCACUGGGGACACCCAAGGCCUGAAACACUGGUGCCUCUUGCACUGUUUUCUAGAGGGUCAUUUUUCCCCCCACUCAGCAGCCAGUCUAGCUGGAAUCCAAGUGUCCCUUAGUUCUGUUCUUCAAGGCUUCAGAGGGGUUGGGGAAGUGCCUGCAUCUGCCAGCAGCUCAGCAGCCGUCCAUGGAACCAAUGAGAGCCCAGCAGAACCCAGGAUUCUGCAGGGGAGGGGGGCAGGGAGCAGAUGUGUCUGCAGAUCACUCACAUCCUCCAGCCCUGGCCAGGCCCACCCCUCCAGGCUUCCCCACUCCUCCCUGCAGCCAGUCUCCCCAGGUGUCCUGCAUUACUUGUGCUGCCCCCUGUAAAUGGAAUGAUCUCCCCCAGCUUCCCUGCCACCUCCCACUUUUCUCCCAACCUGCCCGCCCCACAUCCGCAAAUUCCUUUCCCUCUCCUACACAGCACAGCCUCCGGGAACCCUCUGCACAACUGGAAGUCAUUUAUGUAUCCUCUUGGCCCUCAGCUUGAGUGUUGUGGCAAAGCUUUGUGUCCACGUGUCUUCCUGUCCUCAAGGAUCUGGCCAAGCAUUCACUCCCUCUAUACACAGAACAGGCACUCGGGGUAUUGAUUUGAUGCAUGUGUAAUGGCUCUGUUGGGGCCAUUAUUUGAUGUGUCAUGCCCUUGGAUCUCAUUCUAACCUCAGCUGGUCAAAACAAGACAAUGGAGUAGGACAGUCCCAGAUACCUGGUAGGUGCUCAGUAGGUGUCUGUUAAUUGUAAGAACACCAUCGGAGGCUGUAACCGUCCAUUGUUCCUGUGUCUGAUGGAGUGUCUUUGUUGACCUACCUAUCCACCCUGAGGCCAAAGCCUUGUUCAAUAUCAGUAUCACUCAACUGAAGAGAAGCCACUCUGCCCCUGAGGUGCUGAAGUUGAGCCCUGGGGCUGGACUCUUAGGAGGUUCCCUUCUCCAUGGCAGCGGGAUCCCCAGAGAAGCUCUGACUGGCC